CCCUCCAGGGGACACCCUAAUUAGAGGAUGCCUACCUGGGCCCUGACUCCACCAUGGGCUGCAGGCUACCCUACUGGGUGGCUCUCUGUCUCUUGGGAGCAGUCUCCAUGGAUCCUGGAGUUAUCCAGACUCCAAAACAUCUGGUAACUGGGACAACAAGGAGUGUGACCCUAAAGUGCGAACAACAUCUGGGACAUAAUACUAUGUACUGGUAUAAGCAGAGUGUUCAGAAGCAGCCAAAGCUCAUGCUUGCCUACAAUUACAAGGAUCUCUUUGAAAAUGCGACUGCCUCCAGUCGGUUCUUACCUGAUCGCCCAAACAACACCCAGCUGCACAUUCAGAUAAACACCCUGGAGCCUGAGGACUCUGCCCUGUAUCUCUGUGCCAGCAGCAAGGACACAGCCCUGCACCUUCAACUUCUCCCUGUGCACAAACCUCCGGGCUCCAAACCAGGAAGCCGUGGGGGCCACCAACGCUCAGCUCAGCAUUUCCUGGAGGACCCCAGAGAUCCCAGAGCCUCCUGCUGCCUAGGACACGUGGACCCUAGAGUCAGCCAAAGCCCUAGCCACUACCUCACAACAAUGGGAGAGUGUGGCUCUGAGUCAGAUAGUGCUGAAGUUAAAGCCAGAAGAGAUGUGCUUGAAGUGUACACAUCUCAAAAACAUACAGAGAAUUUCCCCUUGAUUCUGAAGUGGACCAGCACCAACCAGACCUCUCUGUCCUUCUCUGCCAGUCUGUGA